UGGAGUAUGAGUAAUAUCUUCAUUCUUUGCAGUUUGUCACAGAUUAAAUGAUAAAGUUUGUAUGAUUUUGAAAAAAGAAUGAUUAUUAGCAAAUUAUUGGGGGGGCUGCAGCCCCCCAGCCCCCCCGGUUGCUACGGCCCUGUCAUGAGAGGCAUUCACCCCCUGAAAAUAUUCAAAAUGGCGGACGUUCAGGGGGGAUGGCGACAGCAUUUUGAUGACGAAUCAUGGAGUGCAGUUCAUAGAUAUCUUAUAUACACUAGAUAGUGCAUCUAAUUAUUCUGCAAUUCAAAAAUUGAAGCCGUGAUUGCAGACUCAGGAUAUUCCCA